GACGAACGCUGGCGGCGUGCUUAACACAUGCAAGUCGAACGGAAAGGCCCCUUUGGGGGUACUCGAGUGGCGAACGGGUGAGUAACACGUGAGUAACCUGCCCUUGACUUCGGGAUAACUUCAGGAAACUGGGGCUAAUACCGGAUAGGAAUCCUUGCUGCAUGGUGGGGGUUGGAAAGCUUCGGCGGUUUUGGAUGGACUCGCGGCUUAUCAGCUUGUUGGUGGGGUAGUGGCUUACCAAGGCUUUGACGGGUAGCCGGCCUGAGAGGGCGACCGGCCACAUUGGGACUGAGAUACGGCCCAGACUCCUACGGGAGGCAGCAGUGGGGAAGUUUGCACAAGGGGCGGAAGCCUGAUGCAGCAACGCCGCGUGCGGGAUGACGGCCUUCGGGUUGUAAACCGCUUUCAGCAGGGGCGAAGCUUGUGGUGACGGUACCUGCAGAAGAAGCACCGGCUAACUACGUG
rnacentral:rRNA from 1 species